rnacentral:rRNA from 1 species
UACGUAGGGGGCAAGCGUUGUCCGGAAUCAUUGGGCGUAAAGCGCGUGUAGGCGGCCCGGUAAGUCCGCUGUGAAAGUCGGGGGCUCAACCCUCGAAUGCCGGUGGAUACUGUCGGGCUAGAGUGCGGGAGAGGCGAGUGGAAUUCCUGGUGUAGCGGUGAAAUGCGCAGAGUAUCGGGAGGAACACCAAUGGCGAAGGCAGCUCGCUGGGACGGUACUGACGCUGAGGCGC